rnacentral:rRNA from 1 species
AGCGAACGCUGGCGGCGUGCUUAACACAUGCAAGUCGAGUGCGCAGUUUUCUGUAGCAAUACAGGGAAUGGGCGCACGGCGCACGGGUGAGUAACACGUGGGCAACCUGCCCUCCAAAGGGGGAUAACCCGCCGAAAGGCGGGCUAAUACCGCAUGACAUUGCGAUUGCUUCGGCGAUUGUAAUCAAAGGCCGCAAGGCCGUUGGGGGAGGGGCCCGCGCCCGAUUAGCUAGUUGGUGAGGUAACGGCUCACCAAGGCAUUGAUCGGUAGCCGGUCUGAGAGGAUGGCCGGCCACACUGGAACUGAGACACGGUCCAGACUCCUACGGGAGGCAGCAGUGGGGAAUCUUGCGCAAUGGGCGAAAGCCUGACGCAGCGACGCCGCGUGGGGGAUGAAGCUUCUCGGAGUGUAAACCCCUUUCGACCCGGAAGAAUGUCCCGCAAGGGAUUGACGGUACGGGUAUAAGAAGCCCCGGCUAACUACGUGC